UAUUAAAUCUUUAGAUCAGAGGUCCAGCUUGAUCAUGUGUGGUAUCUAUUGUGGUGCAUUGGAAUGAAAAGCCCACAUACUUAAAUAUAGAAUCUAGUAGGCCUAUACUAUAACUGUACUGCCCUAUACUUUAAAUUUGUUACCACAAGAAAAAAGCCUAUUUACUAUUAUUAGUUAUAAUUAAAUUAAAUUGAAAUAUUUGUUUAUCUUUAUAGUUUAUAGUGAAUGCAUGCUAAUGAGCAUUAUUCAAGCUGCUGUUAUAUUUAGGCUUAUAGGCCUAUAUACUCUAUAGCUUAGGCUAUAUACUAUAGACUAUAUAUUAUAUACCAAUAUUGUGCAUAAAACUUAAAGCAUGUAAGCAUACACAAUAAUAAUUAUCAUUAGACCUAUAGUAACUAAGACUCAUACUAUUUAGUACUACUUUAAUACUACCUUUAAACUAUUAGGCAUAAUGAAAUAAUGAUUAAUAAUUUCAGUGUUUUCCGCACUCAAGAGGAAGGAGGUUGCAGGGAACUUAGAGACUAAUCUUUGCCAACAUACUGGAUUUCUGGUGAUGACAAUAGGAGCAAAUAGUAUGCGGCUCAGUUAAUACUAAAAACAAUUGAUUUUAGUAAUUAGUGGACUAUGAGUGUGUGUUUGGCCAUCCAGAUUUCAUAACUACAACUGAUGUUCAAUUACAAGGGAUAUUAAUCAGUCUCCGUGGACUAUACACUGUGCCUAGUUUCAUCCUCAGAGACUGAUGUGUAAGCUUACAGUAAAGACAUCAAAUCAAAGUAUCAGCUAUCAAGAGGAAGAACAUUCAAAAUCAUAUUGUGAUACACAAAUCAAGCAAGUCUAUAACCAGCAAUAUGAUACAGGCCAAGAAAAAGCUGGAUAUUUGAUUGGAAGGGUGACACAAAAAAGAUGGGUUAUCACUAGGGAAACAAGCUCGGAAUACAGUUCACUGUUGGGACAUCAAGCCAAAUACUUCUAAACUUAUUUGAAUCAUUUUUGCUGUUUAUUAUAAUUCAUCCAAUUGUCUUAUUAAAUAUAUAAAUUUAUAUAUAUACACAAUUCCUAAUAUAGAAUUUCUAAAAAUGUUUUAUUAUAAUAUUUAAAAAUGAAACAAACAUGUUCCCAGAACACAGCCAAAUAAUGGCAACAUGUUCCCAGAACACAGCCAAACAAUGUCAACAUGUUCCAUGAACUCACAAAAUGGCAACAUGUUCCCAGAACACACAAAAUGUCAUUAUGUGCCCAGAACACACAAAAUGGCAACAUGUUCCCAGAACACACAAAAUGGCAACAUGUGCCGAGAACACAAAAAAUGACAACAUGUGCCGUUAACAAUACUUCACUUUUUCCUUAACAAUUUUACAAGCAGGUAAUAAAGCCAUAAAUCUUUACUGUGGAUAUAGCCAAUAAAUAGGGUAACCUUCAC